GUUUCAAUUUUCUUCAUACUAAAUAGAUCGAUAGAUUGAUGCGGAAAAGCCUUAGUUACCUGUCCUUCAGUGGUUUCAACUGGAGUGCGGUCGAUGUUCGCUUAGUGUUGUUGCUGUGACCUUGCUGCUUCUUGGUUAAUUGCCAGGGCAUUGUUUUGGUUACACAAUGUCUCCCACUUUUAAGAAUAAUAGGGAGAUGUUAACUUUUGACUAGUGAUGUUUUACAAAAUGUAACAUGUUGACAAUGAGAAUAAAUCAGGAUCAGCUUAU
rnacentral:lncRNA from 1 species